rnacentral:misc_RNA from 1 species
UACGCACAUUGCACCCUCUGGUAUUCCGGGGGGUAUGCCUGUUCGAGCGUCAUUUCAACCCUCAAGCCCAGCUUGGUAUUGGGCGUCACCUGGCAAUGGUGCACCUUAAAAUCAGUGGCGGUGCCAUCUGGCCUCAAGCGUAGUAAAACAAUCGCUUUGGAGGUUUGGAUGGUGUGCUUGCCAUCAACCCCUAAUUUACCAAAGGUUGACCUCGGAUCAGGUAGGGAUACCCGCUGAACUUAA